UCUCCGUAGGUGAACCUGCGGAGGGAUCAUUACAGAGUUCAUGCCCUACCGGGUAGAUCUCCCACCCUAUGUUAUUAUUACUUUGUUGCUUUGGCGGGCCGUUAGGCUCCGGCCCGACUACUGGCCCCGGCUGGUAAGCGCCCGCCAGAGGACCCAAAACCCUGAAUAUUAGUGUCGUCUGAGUACUAUAUAAUAGUUAAAACUUUCAACAACGGAUCUCUUGGUUCUG
rnacentral:misc_RNA from 1 species